UAUGGUAAUUGCCAGCCGCCGCGGUAAUACGGAAGGUCCGGGCGUUAUCCGGAUUUAUUGGGUUUAAAGGGAGCGUAGGCCGGAGAUUAAGCGUGUUGUGAAAUGUAGACGCUCAACGUCUGCACUGCAGCGCGAACUGGUUUCCUUGAGUACGCACAAAGUGGGCGGAAUUCGUGGUGUAGCGGUGAAAUGCUUAGAUAUCACGAAGAACUCCGAUUGCGAAGGCAGCUCACUGGAGCGCAACUGACGCUGAAGCUCGAAAGUGCGGGUAUCGAACAGG
rnacentral:rRNA from 1 species